rnacentral:rRNA from 1 species
CCCUUAGAUGUUCUGGGCUGCACGCGCGCUACACUGAUGCAUGCAACGAGUUUUCGACCUUGCCUGAAAAGGUUGGGUAAUCUGUUUAACAUGUGUCGUGAUGGGGAUAGACCAUUGCAAUUAUUGAUCUUCAACGAGGAAUUCCUAGUAGACGCGAGUCAUAAGCUCGCAUCGAUUAAGUCCCUGCCCUUUGUACACACCGCCCGUCGCUACUACCGAUUGAACGUUUUAGUGAGGCAUUUGGACCGACGCAUCUCAGUUUAACCGCUGGUUUGUGUUGGAAAGACUUCCAAACUUGAGCGUUUAGAGGAAGUAAAAGUCGUAACA